AGGUUGUGUGUAUCAACACUGCAGUGGUGUCAACGAAAUAUCUCAACAGCUUCUAUACCACUCUUCUUCAGAUUAACACAGGAUCUUAGCCUCAACUCCAUCCACAUCUUCAACUCCAUCCCGACUGUCAACUCCAUCCAGAGCAUCAACCUCAAGCUGAUGUUCAUCCCCAGACUCCCCUGAUAAAGAACUUCUUACUUCAACAUCACCUCAGAAACAGAAUGAGUGAGCGAGUGAGGCAGCAGCUGUGUGUGAGGAAGAGAAAACGAAAAUGGGAAGCCUGUUACCAUGACAACGGGGAGGUAGACGACCUUGAGGGGUUGCGCACCCACCAUCACAACAAUAACAACUCCGGAGCCUUCGCCUGGGCCACACGACACUCGCAGCUCACUUGCACCGUCUGCGCCUGUCUGCUGAUCCCUAUUGCAUUUCCUGCUCCGCUGCCCAUG